rnacentral:lncRNA from 1 species
CUUCUACUACAUAUACUACAUGGAUGUUGAUAAGCAAAAUAACACUCCUUCGCAGAAAUCGACCUUAACUACAUAGAUAACUAGAAAACAACAAAACAAAAUAGAGGACUGCUAAAAAAAUAACCAAACACUUAUUACUAUCUUCUAAAAACCCAAUUGGUAGAGCUCCCCUCAACAUGCGUAUCUCAUGAAUCAAUCUUGCUCUUGGUGUGCUAACCUCCCAUCUCAGCUCAUGAAUAAUUUUUUCAAGUUUCUUCACUAUAUCCAUCAAAAUCUCUAAACUGGAUCUACCAUCACUACAACAUUCAUG